ensembl:miRNA
UGCAAAUCAGAACGCGGCACGAGCAGACACCGCAAAUCUCUGUUUAAUCUCGGCCCUGUGAUGUAUUUGCAGC